rnacentral:rRNA from 2 species
GACGAACGCUGGCGGCGUGCUUAACACAUGCAAGUCGAACGGAUCACAUUGCUUCGGUUUUGUGGUGAGUGGCGAACGGGUGAGUAACACGUGAGUAACCUGCCCCCUUCUUUGGGAUAACGUCGGGAAAUCGGCGCUAAUACUGGAUAUUCUGGUUUCCUCGCAUGGGGUUUCUGGGAAAGGUUUUCUGGUGGGGGAUGGGCUCGCGGCCUAUCAGCUUGUUGGUGGGGUGAUGGCCUACCAAGGCGGUGACGGGUAGCCGGCCUGAGAGGGUGUCCGGCCACACUGGGACUGAGACACGGCCCAGACUCCUACGGGAGGCAGCAGUGGGGAAUAUUGCACAAUGGGCGCAAGCCUGAUGCAGCGACGCCGCGUGAGGGAUGACGGCCUUCGGGUUGUAAACCUCUUUCAGUACAGAACAAGGCCUUCGGGUUGAGGGUAUGUGCAGAAGAAGCGCCGGCUAACUACGUG